rnacentral:rRNA from 1 species
CAAGUCGAACGCGAAAGUGGAGCAAUCCAUGAGUAGAGUGGCAAACGGGUGAGUAACGCGUGGGUGACCUGCCUUCGAGCGGGGGAUAACGUUUCGAAAGGAACGCUAAUACCGCAUGACAUCCUGCCUUUGAAGAGGUGGAGAUCAAAGCUGGGGAUCGCAAGACCUAGCACUUGAAGAGGGGCCCGCGUCUGAUUAACUAGUUGGUGAGGUAACGGCUCACCAAGGCGACGAUCAGUAUCCGGCCUGAGAGGGCGGACGGACACACUGGGACUGAGACACGGCCCAGACUCCUACGGGAGGCAGCAGUGGGGAAUUGUUCGCAAUGGGCGCAAGCCUGACGACGCAACGCCGCGUGGAGGAUGAAGACCUUCGGGUCGUAAACUCCUUUCGAUCGAGACGAAAGACUUCCGGGUGAACAAUCCGGGAGAGUGACGGUACCGAGAGAAGAAGCCCCGGCUAACUCCGUGCCAGCAGCCGCGGUAAUACGGGGGGGGCAAGCGUUGUUCGGAAUUACUGGGCGUAAAGGGCUCGUAGGCGGCCAACUAAGUCAGACGUGAAAUCCCUCGGCUUAACCGGGGAACUGCGUCUGAUACUGGAUGGCUUGAGGUUGGGAGAGGGAUGCGGAAUUCCAGGUGUAGCGGUGAAAUGCGUAGAUAUCUGGAGGAACACCGGUGGCGAAGGCGGCAUCCUGGACCAAUUCUGACGCUGAGUGAGCGAAAGCCAGGGGAGCAAACGGGAUUAGAUACCCCGGUAGUCCUGGCCCUAAACGAUGAAUGCUUGGUGUGGCGGGUAUCGAUCCCUGCCGUGCC